UACGUAGGGUGCAAGCGUUAAUCGGAAUUACUGGGCGUAAAGCGUGCGCAGGCGGUUAUGCAAGACAGAUGUGAAAUCCCCGGGCUCAACCUGGGAACUGCAUUUGUGACUGCAUGGCUAGAGUGCGGCAGAGGGGGAUGGAAUUCCGCGUGUAGCAGUGAAAUGCGUAGAUAUGCGGAGGAACACCGAUGGCGAGGGCAAUCCCCUGGGCCUGCACUGACGCUCAUGCACGAAAGCGUGGGGAGCAAACAGG
rnacentral:rRNA from 1 species